GGCUUGUUGGUCUAGGGGUAUGAUUCUCGCUUAGGGUGCGAGAGGUCUCCCGGACGAGCCC
rnacentral:tRNA from 1 species